rnacentral:rRNA from 1 species
GUGGGGAAUUUUGGACAAUGGGCGCAAGCCUGAUCCAGCCAUGCCGCGUGCAGGAUGAAGGCCUUCGGGUUGUAAACUGCUUUUGUACGGAACGAAAAAGCUCUCUCUAAUACAGGGGGUGAAUGACGGUACCGUAAGAAUAAGCACCGGCUAACUACGUGCCAGCAGCCGCGGUAAUACGUAGGGUGCAAGCGUUAAUCGGAAUUACUGGGCGUAAAGCGUGCGCAGGCGGUUAUGUAAGACAGAGGUGAAAUCCCCGGGCUCAACCUGGGAACUGCCUUUGGGACUGCAUAGCUGGAGUGCGGCAGAGGGGGAUGGAAUUCCGCGUGUAGCAGUGAAAUGCGUAGAUAUGCGGAGGAACACCGAUGGCGAAGGCAAUCCCCUGGGCCUGCACUGACGCUCAUGCACGAAAGCGUGGGGAGCAAACAGGAUUAGAAACCCUGGUAGUCC